rnacentral:rRNA from 1 species
AGUGAACGCUGGCGGUAGGCCUAACACAUGCAAGUCGAACGGCAGCACAGUAAGAGCUUGCUCUUACGGGUGGCGAGUGGCGGACGGGUGAGGAAUACAUCGGAAUCUACUUUUUCGUGGGGGAUAACGUAGGGAAACUUACGCUAAUACCGCAUACGACCUACGGGUGAAAGCAGGGGAUCUUCGGACCUUGCGCGAUUGAAUGAGCCGAUGUCGGAUUAGCUAGUUGGCGGGGUAAAGGCCCACCAAGGCGACGAUCCGUAGCUGGUCUGAGAGGAUGAUCAGCCACACUGGAACUGAGACACGGUCCAGACUCCUACGGGAGGCAGCAGUGGGGAAUAUUGGACAAUGGGCGCAAGCCUGAUCCAGCCAUACCGCGUGGGUGAAGAAGGCCUUCGGGUUAAAGCCCUUUUGUUGGGAAAGAAAAGCAGCAGGUUAAUACCCCGCUGUUCUGACGGUACCCAAAGAAUAAGCACCGGCUAACUUCGUG